AGACUGUCAUUUUGAACUUUGUCUCACUCUGAAAGCAGAAAAUGGCCGAAAGGUUUUGGCAAGCAACCUUCUUGGGAGAAAUGCAAAUACCAUUGAUUUUUCGAGGCCUCUCAUGGAUGAAGACAUGCUCCUUUUUACAAGUGUGGUCAGGUUCCCUGAUAACUCUUUGUAUGAUCAUGUGGUUGCAGUACCUUGCAGGAACGGGAACGUCAUUCUGAGGGUAGUCCACAUGCAAGUGUUCUAAAGUUGACAUCACUGCUUCAUCAUUCACCUCAUUUUCCCAGAACAGAAGCACCAAGAAAAUUAUCACCAUUAUUAUCAUCAGAGUGCAGAUCCUUUUUUAAUAGCGAGAACAUUUAAAACCUACUCUUCGAAUAAUUUUGAAAUCUACAAAAUGGCAGCAUGGCCCAGGAGUGUGACUGGCAGUGAAGGAGCUGGGAAGACCUUGGAUGCAGGAAGGUCAUUUAAAGCAAAAGAUUAAGAAGCAGCAAUGCCCCUCUUGUGGCAAGAGUUGGCAGCGUGCGGUUGGUAUGUCAAUGCAUCCAAGGUCCAAGGGCCUGGAUUGUCUGCCAAAUGCUUGGGAGUUGUUUGAUCAGGUUGACAUGCUCCAACAGCAUUGUGGACUGGGCCCACACCUACGCUGAGGUGACCAAUGUCUCCAACUGUUGGAUCUGCUCCACCUUCCAGCAGCAGCUGCGGAGAGUUUGCCCUGGAACGCGUAUCCUGCUUCUGUUAAGAACUGGACAUGGCUAGAAGCUUGGGGUCCCACGGACAAUGGGUGGGAUGCCACAGGGCGGGCUUUGGAUAGGAGGCAUCACAAAACCCAUGGCAAACCUGGCCCUUGGCUGACUCAUAGUGUCCAUGAUGGAUGGAGCUGGCUAAUGGGAGAACACGUGGUGCCCCCAUUGCAGGUAUCACAAUGUAUAGAGCAGCACUGGGGUAAAGUCACUGUGGGAUGGUUGCCUACUGAGGUUUGUGCAAACAUAACAUGUGUCACCACACCAAGGGUGCAGUGGAACAAGCGGCCUUACGAAGGCCAGGCCCCCAUGGACUUUGUGCCCCCUGGGAGUUUAUGGGUCUGUGGGGACACAGGAUGGCCAUAUCUCCCAGCCAACUGGACUGGACAUUGUACCUGGGGUUGGCCCUAUGUGCCUGCCACUGGGCUUCCCACAUUGCCUAGUCGCCACAUAACUGGGAGCCACUGUGUUCCUGCUUUUUCCCAGUGCAGCAGGCCCUCUAGUGGUUCUAUCCCUUAGCAAUGACUAUCCCUGGAGCAGGCGUCAUUACUAUAGAAAAGCAAGUUGCAGCCUUUGCAGACCACACAGCUCGGUCCCGAGUUGCCCUCCUUUUGUUAACUGAUGAAGUUGAUCAGAUCAGGAAGGUGGUGCUGCAAAACCAGAUGGCCUUAGACAUAGUCGCAGCUGCCCAAGGUGGCACCUGUGCCCUUGUAGGGACACAAGGUUGUACAUUUAUCCCUGACAACCACUGGAAUAUAAUGGCAGCUUCACAAGGGGUGUCAUAGGAGAUUAAGGUGAUUGAGCACCUUACUGAUGACCCCCUGCAGAGAUGGUGGGCGUCUUUGGGAUCUGGCCUACAAUGGGCUCUCAUAAUCAUAGGUAGCAUAGCAGGAAUAUUAGUGGUAGGUUGUUGCUGUCUGUGUUGUUGCUGUGGCCUAUGGGUCCAGGGUGCUGCCACAUGUGCAUGGGUCCCCACCAAGAGGAUUCCCUGGCCUAGAGGGUGGAGUGUAAGGAACAUGGCUGUGUGCAGGCAAGCAGGCAUAGGCCAAGGUAAACAGCCUAGAUGACUCAGUGGGAUUGGGGCACAAGUGCACAGUCCCAUAUCUUAUAUAAUCAUAGCCGUGUAGGCACAACAUAAAGAAGCUCCCCACCUGG
rnacentral:lncRNA from 10 species